rnacentral:pre_miRNA from 1 species
CGCUCUGGUCAUUUAGCUGUAUGAGUUCAGCAAGUAUCAUAAAGCUAGAUUACCAGAGCU